GGAACAUACACCUGCCAUCCAUAUUCCUAGCAAUGGGAGUGCAUGAGGCAGACAACUGAUAAAGAUGCUCCAACACAGCCCGUGAACUAGCCGAAGAUGUCCUUCACCUGAUGAGCUUCAUGCUGCUGCCGCCUACCAUCUACUGAGGGAGGAACUGACAACACCAUACCACAAGUUGGUGCCAGCACUGAACUUCAAUGCAGAAGCCAGCAACAGGACCUCUUGGGGUCCAUUCAACACUCAGGUUCCUCCUGUUGCUGAAACUAACCGGCGGUAGGGAGGAGAUCAACCAACCUCAUGACUAUCGACAUUGCAGAUGGUCGCUCACACCAUUGCCUCAGCUUGCGGACAUUGAGCUGACUCAAUGGUCAUCAGCUAAAAUCCAACAAGCAGCUGAAUGAGCAACAGCUGAGGCUGGUGUAGAAGAAUGACAACUUGUAAACAAUAUGAAUAAAUGACUGAAUUUUAAUAAUA